rnacentral:rRNA from 1 species
AGUGAACGCUGGCGGUAGGCCUAACACAUGCAAGUCGAACGGCAGCACAGGAGAGCUUGCUCUCUGGGUGGCGAGUGGCGGACGGGUGAGGAAUACAUCGGAAUCUACCUUUUUCGUGGGGGAUAACGUAGGGAAACUUACGCUAAUACCGCAUACGCCCUUCGGGUGAAAGCAGGGGACCUUCGGGCCUUGCGCGGAUAGCUGAGCCGAUGUCGGAUUAGCUAGUUGGCGGGGUAAAGGCCCACCAAGGCGACGAUCCGUAGCUGGUCUGAGAGGAUGAUCAGCCACACUGGAACUGAGACACGGUCCAGACUCCUACGGGAGGCAGCAGUGGGGAAUAUUGGACAAUGGGCGCAAGCCUGAUCCAGCCAUACCGCGUGGGUGAAGAAGGCCUUCGGGUUGUAAAGCCCUUUUGUUGGGAAAGAAAAGCAACCAGUUAAUACCUGGUUGUUCUGACGGUACCCAAAGAAUAAGCACCGGCUAACUUCGUGCCAGCCGCCGCCGUAA